GGUGUGUAAGCGUAGCGAUACGUUGAGCUAACCAGUACUAAUGACCCGAGAGGCUUAACCUUACAACACCGAAGGUGUUU
rnacentral:rRNA from 1 species